CCUCUCAAAUAGCCUUUAUUAAAGACUACCUUAUAUUUGAAAGCUAUAUAUACUUUGGCUAAGGAGAUCAUAAGCCACCAUAACAGAACCAAAUCCAAAGAGACUUUAAUCAAGAUUGACUUUGAAAAAGACUUUGAUAGCAUUUCAUGAGAUUUUCUACUCGAAAUGUUGGCAAGGAGAGGUUUGGAACCAAAUGGUUACAUGGACAUCUAAUCUCCUCAAAACU
rnacentral:lncRNA from 1 species